UUUAGCGAUUCUUAACAUUGUCCAUGACCAUGAAGCAAAUGUUCUUCACAGGAAACUGGGGCACGACUGAAGAAUCACAGAGGAAGAACCAGAAAAAAACAUCUGAAAGAGUUAUGGCUUUUAUUCAGUGAAACCCAGACAUUUAAUCAUUUGUGAAAUCCAACGACCUCCACCUAGAGGCUAGGUGAGGGCAAGUUCUUUCCUCCUGUGAAAU